AAUUUAUUAGUUUAUAAUAAAACAUUACAUUUUCAAUGUAAAAAUAAAUUAAUUUAUUUAUAAAUUA
rnacentral:tRNA from 1 species